rnacentral:rRNA from 1 species
AAAAUUAAAAAUUUUGGCGGUAUUUUAAUUUUUUUAGAGGAACCUGUUCUGUAAUUGAUAUUCCACGAUAAAUUUCACUUUUAUUAAAAUUUACAUAUCGUUGUAAAAAAGUAUUUUUUAGGAAUAAUAAUAUUUAAGAUUUUUAUUAAAAAUUAAAUCAAAUCAAGAUGUAGUUUAUAUAAAAGAAGAAAUGGGUUACAAUAAAAAUAAUUAUAAGGAUAUAAAUUUGAAAAGUUUAUUGAAAGUGAAUUUGAAGGUAAUUUUAAAUAAUUAUUUAAAAUGAUUAAAAUUCUAAAAUAUGUACAUAUUGCCCGUCACUUUCAUUAUAAAAUGAAAUAAGUCGUAACAAAGUAGAUGUACUGGAAAGUGUCUCUAGAAUUCAAGUUAGAGCUUGAAAAAAGUAUUUUAUUUACAUUAAAAAGUUAAUUGUGGAAUUCAAUUUAGCUUGAUUUAAAAGAAUUAUUUAUUAAAAAAAUUUAAUUUAUUAAUAAAAUAAGAAAAUUAUUGUUAUAUUAAAGUGAAGAAAUAAUUUUUAUAAUUAUAGUGGAUUAUUAUUGUGAAAGAUUUUAUUUAAAAAUAAAAAAGGAAAAUUAAUUUUGUACCUUGUGUUUCAGGGUUUAUUAAUAUGAAGUAUAUAUUUAGUUUUCUCGAAUUAAAGAGAGCUAAAUUUUUAUAAAUUUUAUUGUAAAAUAAAUAUUUAAAAUAAAAAUUUUGAAAUGAAACGUUAUUCGUUCUUUAAUAUAUCUAGUUUUAAAAGAAAAAAGUUUAAUUUUUAUUUAAUGAAAUAUUUUUUUAAAUUUUUAAUUUAAUAUUAAUUUAAAGUUAUUUAUUUAGGGAUGAGCUUAAAUAAAAAAUAAUAUAAUUUUAUAAUAAUAAAUUUAUUUAUAGGGUUAAAAUUGCUUAUAAAUUAAAGGAUGUUAUAAUUAAUAAAUUUAAUAUUAAAAUUUUUAUAAGAUUUAUUUUAUUUAUUUUAAAAUUUUAAUUAAUCAAAAAUUAAAAGAUAUAAUGAUAAAAUUAGUAUAAUAAUCUAUAAUUUAAUAUUAAAUUAAGGUAAAUUUAAGGAAUUCGGCAAAUAAUUUUUCACCUGUUUAUUAAAAACAUGUCCUUUUGAUUAUAAUUUAAGGUCAUCCCUGCCCACUGAAAAUUUAAAUGGCCGCAGUAUUUUGACUGUGCAAAGGUAGCAUAAUCAUUAGUUUUUUAAUUAAAAGCUAGAAUGAAGGGGUUCAUGAAAAAAUUUCUGUCUCAAAUUUAUUUUAUUAAAAUUUUAUUUUUAAGUUAAAAAGCUUAAAUUUUAUUAAAAGACGAUAAGACCCUAUAGAGUUUAAUAAAAAUAAAAAUUUAUAUUUAAGAAUUAAU